GUGCCAGCAGCCGCGGUAAUACGUAGGGGGCAAGCGUUGUCCGGAAUUAUUGGGCGUAAAGCGCGCGCAGGCGGUCCUUUAAGUCUGAUGUGAAAGCCCACGGCUUAACCGUGGAGGGCCAUUGGAAACUGGAGGACUUGAGUACAGAAGAGGAGAGUGGAAUUCCACGUGUAGCGGUGAAAUGCGUAGAGAUGUGGAGGAACACCAGUGGCGAAGGCGACUCUCUGGUCUGUAACUGACGCUGAGGUGCGAAAGCGUGGGUAGCGAACAGGAUUAGAUACCCUGGUAGUCC
rnacentral:rRNA from 1 species